rnacentral:misc_RNA from 1 species
UGGUUCUGGCAUCGAUGAAGAACGCAGCGAAAUGCGAUAAGUAAUGCGAAUUGCAGAAUUCCAGUGAGUCAUCGAAUCUUUGAACGCACAUUGCGCCCUUUGGCAUUCCGAAGGGCAUGCCUGUUCGAGCGUCAUUAUCACCCCUCAAGCCCUGCGCUUGGUGUUGGACGGCCUGGUCGAGUUCUUCUCGACCCCUCCCAAAGAUAAUGACGGCGGCCCGUGGUUCCCCCGGCACACUGAGCUUUUCACUGAGCACGUGUCGGAUUGAAGGGUACCCGGGCCACGGUCCUCUUCCUAGUAUAAGGAAACUUCACGCAAAGGUUGACCUCGGAUCAGGUAGGAAUACGCGCUGA